rnacentral:misc_RNA from 1 species
CCCACCAUCUUUCCGCCAAACAGUUAACGAAACUGUAAUUCGCGAACAGUGCAACUCGCUUAAAAAACACACGCAACUCAAUGCUAUUCAAUGUUACCUGGACCUUCGCAACCGAAACAACAAUCCUCGAGAACCCCGGCUGACGUGUCAAAAGCGAUCUCUCGCUCGCUUGCUCGUUAUUACGCCGUUCAAACAAUCCACGAGACGCCAGCGAACGCCAACGGAUCUCCAGCGAUCAAGAAGUUUUAUCUCCUCUACAGUGGCUGUUCUCGCUUCUAUUGCAUCAUAGAAAUCGGUUAAUCGAGGAUGUACGAGUGAACUUCCACAAAAAAGCUACAAAUUACGACUAAAUUCUAGCAAACUGUACAAUUCUAGCAAACAGCAGACUCUUUAGGUCUACGUGACGAAAACUGCAGUAAUCGCGAAGUUAUUUACAUUAGAAGUGUUGUAAUGCGUCUUAAUAGCUGUAAACACGCCAUACUGAUAAAGCGUUCGUGAUUUCUAUUUAUGACGUAGUAUCAUACGAAUCAAAUAAAGUAUUUAAUGACAUAUUUUAUAACAAAAAAUCGAUACAAAUCUUCUGCAAUUUUAUAUGAUACCUAUAUAAUAUUUCUUUGCCUGGGCGAUUACAUUUAUCUCGAAUUUGGAAGUUAAACGAACGAAUAUGAACGAUACGCGAUAUUUGCUGAUUAAACGUAGAGGCAUCUAAACGCAAAUGCUUGACAAAUGGACGAUUUUUAUUUGCUCAUUAUCAUCUGGAUGCUGUAUGCAUACAAUUUAAACAUUCGUUUAUUGCUAUCUGUUUAAUCUUUGCUAAUACACGUAUUUCUGGAUUACAGCGGUAAUCGCGAAGAUUUGCUUUUUAUUAUUUCUUACUUUCAUUAGGAAGGUCAUACAAGCAAGAAUAAUUUUUUGCGAUGGUGAUACUUUAUCUUAAUCUUUGGUUUUCUGACGACACGUUUUAUAUUCUUCGAUCUUCAAUACGUUUAUAAAAUAACUAAGAAAAAGGAAGAAAACAUCUGUAUAUUAUUUACACUUAUAACAUUAAAUAUUCAGAAUUAUGAAAUUGAGAAGAUUC